rnacentral:rRNA from 1 species
AUUGAACGCUGGCGGCAGGCCUAACACAUGCAAGUCGAGCGAGCGGCGGACGGGUGAGUAAUGUAUGGGGACUGCCCGAUAGAGGGGGAUAACUACUGGAAACGGUGGCUAAUACCGCAUAUUAUCGGAUAACCCAUAUGGGAUGAGCUAGUAGGUAAGGUAAUGGCUUACCUAGGCGACGAGCCCUCGCUGGUCUGCAAGGAUGAUCAGCCACACUGGGACUGGGACACGGCCCAGACUCCUACGGAGGCAGCAGUGGGGAAUAUUGCACAAGGGGCGCAGGCCGGAUGCACACAGGCCGCGUGUAUGAAGAAGGCCCUAGGGUUGUAAGGUACUUUCAGUCGGGAGGCGUUACCGACAGAAGAAGCACCGGCUAACUCCGUGCCAGCAGCCGCGGUAAUUC